ACGGAAGGCAGCAGUGGGGAAUAUUGGACAAUGGGGGAAACCCUGAUCCAGCGACGCCGCGUGAGUGAAGAAGUAUUUCGGUAUGUAAAGCUCUAUCAGCAGGGAAGAAAAUGACGGUACCUGACUAAGAAGCCCCGGCUAACUACGUGCCAGCAGCCGCGGUAAUACGUAGGGGGCAAGCGUUAUCCGGAUUUACUGGGUGUAAAGGGAGCGUAGACGGCAUAGCAAGUCUGAAGUGAAAGCCCGUGGCUCAACUGCGGGACUGCUUUGGAAACUGUUAGGCUAGAGUGUCGGAGAGGUGAGUGGAAUUCCCAGUGUAGCGGUGAAAUGCGUAGAUAUUGGGAGGAACACCAGAGGCGAAGGCGGCUCACUGGACGAUUACUGACGUUGAGGCUCGAAAGCGUGGGGAGCAAACAGGAUUAGAUACCCUGGUA
rnacentral:rRNA from 1 species